AUAUCACUGGAGAUUCCCAUGUACCUGAGGCCUUCUGAGUGGCAACAGUUCCCUUCUUGAUUGGAGUGGCAAACUGGAGCCCCAGGGGUCUUUGUAGUCUGAGCUGCGAGCCAAGGAUGUAUCACAUGCUGGUGGCAUGCUCUCCUCUUGAAGCUGGCUGUGUUAACACCUCUGCACCACAGGACAACAAGGGUUUCCUCUGCACCUGCAUGGCUUUGAGGAACUCACUUUUGCGUACUGCUAUUGGAUGCUUUGGAGAGCUCAGUGUAAAAUCAAAGCAAGAUGGGACUUGCUCCAGGUUUGAAAUCCUGAGUCUUUUUCAACUUCUAGAAGGAAUGGCUGUAUGGCUUGUGGGCCUUCAAGAGUCAGCUGUGUGCAGUGCUGCUGUCUGCAGCAGAAGAGGCGUCUGGCAUCCCUGCAUCUGUAUUGUGCUGUACGUAUCAGAGGAAUGCUGGGAUGACACACUUCAAAAUCCUUUCUGGGAAACUGUGAACAUCUAGGGGAAACAAGCAGCCUGUUCCUCCUUUUCUCUCUCCAUUUUUUUUUUUCUCUCCGUGCUCUCUGUUGUUUCUUUUCACCCCUUUCUUCCAUGUCUCUUCUCUUUCCAUUCUCCUCCUCUGAGCUGUCUGAGCAGAUCACAAGCUGACUGGAUCCCCUCCUGCUGCUCCUGCACUGAUUGUUACAAAAGCAAGAAGUAGCCCCAUGGUGAGAUCAUCAGAAGCCACUUUAUUUGCCAGAGGUGUAUUACUGUGGAGUAUCAAGGAAGCAGAAGUUUAUUUGAAGGAGCUAAGUGUAAACAUCAUCUUACAGAUACCAACUCAGACACUGCUUGGGCUUGUUGAUUUCUAAUGAAAAAGGUGAAACUCCACAGUUGAAGAAGCUCGUUUAACCAUGGGCUGUGUGAGGAUCUGCUGUCAACCCCUCCUAAUAUUUUCUGAAACUGUCCAUCAAUUUCAAAAAUAUUUGAUGGAGUGACAGGGUCUCAAAGAUACGAUUCCUGUAAGAUUCACAACAAUAGAUGGACAAUAAAAUCCCUCCUUCUGUCUGAGGUGAAGCAAAUUGUCAUGGAGUCAGUUCUCAUUUGACUCUUGGGAACCCAUGUAGACUUUGUCAGUGCCUAGGUAAUGGGAAUGCUUCUACCAAAGCUUGUACCUUCCCUAUCCUCAGGGAAUUUGGUCAAGCUCCAGAUAUAGAUAACAGGGCUGCCUGUUAUUCUUGUUAUUAUGCAAAUUUCAAUAAAACUGGGCAAUUUCCAAAAGAAAUCAAUACAAUUUGCCAGGAGACUUUAUGGGCCUCUGCAGAAAAUCUGUAGCAGUAAUGGAUAGGAAGAGAGAGGGCCAACUCAUUAGCAAGAAGAGAGAGUUUGAAUGGGAAUGAGGGCAGUGACAAGGGAAAGACUGGAAUAUGGCAAUUAAACAUUUCAACUUGCUUUGAAAGUCAAAGUAAUGGUCUGAGGCGGAGUGGUGCUUUAGUGUUACUAGGUGUAAGAAGAAAACAGUGAAGUCUUUUCAAGGUUUAGGGGCAAUUAGAUCCAAGGCAGUGGUCAGGGAAUAGCAUUUUGGUACAAAGGAAAUGCUGACAUCUGUUCCCAUCCUGAACAAGGAAGAUAAGUCCUCAAAGUGACGUGGAGGAAGGAAAGUCCCUGCCAAGGCUCCGUGUGGGCACGGCAGAUUGGUUGCAUCCUGCUGUAAACAGCGCACUGGAGGAGAUGCCAAAAGAAAAUGGGAAUAUUCUUUGCUUUUGUCACUACAUUGUUCAGACAGAACGAGGGGGAGGUCAGUGCAGAAAAACCUCGGAGAGAACUGGGAAAUCAUUUCUAGUUUCCUAAAACUUGAAAAAAAAGGAAGUACAAGAUGAAAACUGACCUAAUUUACCUAUUUGCAUCUUAUCUCAUCCUGACUUUACAAAAUCUCGUCUAAGAGAGUGGCUCUAACUUGGUUUUCUUGUCCUGCUCACUAAAAAAGAGUAAACAUUUACAGAAUUGUUCUGGAAACCUGACCAGAAAUUGCUGAUGAACCAGCAUAAAAAUGGAGGAAACUGAAUAAACAUAAAAUAGCUGUGUUAAGUGUUUGACUCCGAAGGGCCAUAAAAUCUAUUUUGGAAAGUUCAGUUGAACAUUUAAGCACCAGGGUACUUUAAGUAACGCAGUUCUUUUACAGGCAUUUUAAAGGAGCCUUAAAAAGAGCGGGAGGAUUGCUUAAAUUGCUAAAAAUCUCUAGGAUGUAAUGCACUGACUCUCUCCUAUGCCAACUUAGGCACCCACUAUUACCAUUGCAGCACUAAGCUUCUUUCCAGCUUAAAUGAGAAGGUAGAGGUUCAUCCAUGGCUGAUGGAUAACACAAAAGCAAGCUGGCUAAUGGUCUCCAGAGAAAUCUGUCUGAGGUGUGGGAUGACGACUCUGUAGCCCAUAACUUUAUAUAUACAGAAACAUGCAAUUCUGACUGAAGAAUGAAGGUAACAUGACAACCCUUUUGCUUUUCUCACUUAAAUUUUCAGUUCUCACUCAUCCUUCACUCCUUGAAGAGAGAUAUAUGUAUUUACAGAAAAAAAUAUGGCCCUUAAUUGGAACAGCUCAGCUAGUGAUAGUAAAUGUGAUAGCUGCAC
rnacentral:lncRNA from 1 species